AUUGAACGCUGGCGGCAUGCCUUACACAUGCAAGUCGAACGGCAGCACGGGAGCAAUCCUGGUGGCGAGUGGCGAACGGGUGAGUAAUAUAUCGGAACGUGCCCAGUCGUGGGGGAUAACGUAGCGAAAGCUACGCUAAUACCGCAUACGAUCUAUGGAUGAAAGCGGGGGAUCGCAAGACCUCGCGCGAUUGGAGCGGCCGAUAUCAGAUUAGGUAGUUGGUGAGGUAAAGGCUCACCAAGCCGACGAUCUGUAGCUGGUCUGAGAGGACGACCAGCCACACUGGGACUGAGACACGGCCCAGACUCCUACGGGAGGCAGCAGUGGGGAAUUUUGGACAAUGGGCGCAAGCCUGAUCCAGCAAUGCCGCGUGCAGGAUGAAGGCCUUCGGGUUGUAAACUGCUUUUGUACGGAGCGAAAAGGCUUCCACUAAUACUGGGGGCUCAUGACGGUAC
rnacentral:rRNA from 2 species